GGUAGGCAUAAGGGUCGGGUUCGUCCUGCUUAUGCUGAAAUGAGACUAUUGAUAAGUCACUUGCGCCUGGCAAGGAUGGUGGUUAAUCCCGCUUGUCGAGGGUGCGGCGCCCGCGCAAGGACGGUGGUUUGAUCCCGCUUGCGUGUUUCGGGCAAGGACGGUGGUUUAGUCCCGCUUGUCUAUGGGACCUACGGAUAAGGACGGUGGUUGGAUCCCGCUUAUCCUAGUCGGGUUUGGCAACAUAACCGAUAAUGCGAUAUCACAGCCAGUAGGACAGACAUUCAUCAUUUGCAUUUAUGUGACAUUGUUUGGGUGUGCAUAUUGUAAUUGGUUUGCUUAUGUGAAUACUUAUGUUAAUUGCUAACUGCUAUAUUUGUUGUAAUUGCUAUUGAUUGUGUUUAAACUA